rnacentral:rRNA from 1 species
GACGAACGCUGGCGGCGUGCCUAAUACAUGCAAGUUGAGCGAUGAAGAUUGGUGCUUGCACCAAUUUGAAGAGCAGCGAACGGGUGAGUAACGCGUGGGGAAUCUGCCUUUGAGCGGGGGACAACAUUUGGAAACGAAUGCUAAUACCGCAUAACAACUUUAAACAUAAGUUUUAAGUUUGAAAGAUGCAAUUGCAUCACUCAAAGAUGAUCCCGCGUUGUAUUAGCUAGUUGGUGAGGUAAAGGCUCACCAAGGCGAUGAUACAUAGCCGACCUGAGAGGGUGAUCGGCCACAUUGGGACUGAGACACGGCCCAAACUCCUACGGGAGGAAGCAGUAGGGAAUCUUCGGCAAUGGACGAAAGUCUGACCGAGCAACGCCGCGUGAGUGAAGAAGGUUUUCGGAUCGUAAAACUCUGUUGGUAGAGAAGAACGUUGGUGAGAGUGGAAAGCUCAUCAAGUGACGGUAACUACCCAGAAAGGGACGGCUAACUACGUG